GACGCACGCUGGCGGCGUGCUUAACACAUGCAAGUCGAACGAAGUGGCGAACGGGUGAGUAAUACGUGAGUAACCUGCCCUCCUUUUUGGGAUAAGCCUUGGAAACGGGGUCUAAUACCGAAUAACGUGGGAUGGGCUCUCGGCCUAUCAGCUUGUUGUUUGGGGGAUGGCCUCCCAAGGCGGUGACGGGUAGCCGGCCUGGGAGGGUGACCGGCCACAUGGGGAAUGAGAUACGGGCCAGAGUGCUACGGGAGGCAGCAGGGGGGGAGAUUGCACAAUGGUCGAAAGCCUGAUGCAGGGGCGCGGCGGGGGGGAUGAAGGCUUUCGGGUUGAAAACGUCUUUCGCGAUCGAACGGGUAGGUUUAGAAGAAGCGCCGGCUAACUACGUGCCAGCAGCCGCGGUAAUUC
rnacentral:rRNA from 1 species